rnacentral:snoRNA from 1 species
CUGCAGCCAAUUAAGCCGACUGAGUUCCUUUCUCAUGGGGGCCGCAGUGUUCGCAACUGGCUGCAAACAGCACCGCUUCCCCUGCGAUAGUCAGUGCAGCCCUGUUUGUUGUAUGGGCUCUGCCUAAAGCUGGGAGCCGGGU